UACGAAGGGGGCUAGCGUUGUUCGGAUUUACUGGGCGUAAAGCGCGUGUAGGCGGCUAUGCAAGUCGGGUGUGAAAUCCCACGGCUCAACCGUGGAAGUGCACUCGAAACUACGUAGCUGGAGUUCUGGAGAGGAAGGUGGAAUGCUCGGUGUAGAGGUGAAAUUCGUAGAUAUCGAGUGGAACACCGGUGGCGAAGGCGGCAUCCUGGACCGAAACUGACACUGAUGCGCGAAAGCCAGGGGAGCAAACGGG
rnacentral:rRNA from 1 species